CCGGGAUUGCCUCAGUAACGGCGAGUGAAGCGGCAAGAGCUCAAAUUUGAAAUCUGGCCCCUUCGGUCCGAGUUGUAAUUUGUAGAGGAUGCUUUGGGUGCGGCCCCUGUCUAAGUGCCCUGGAAUGGGUCAUCGGAGAGGGUGAGAAUCCCGUCUGGGAUGGGGUGUCCGUAUCCGUGUAAAGCUCCUUCGACGAGUCGAGUKKUUUGGGAAUGCAGCUCUAAAUGGGUGGUAAAUUUCAUCUAAAGCUAAAUACUGGCCGGAGACCGAUAGCGCACAAGUAGAGUGAUCGAAAGAUGAAAAGCACUUUGAAAAGAGAGUUAAACAGCACGUGAAAUUGUUGAAAGGGAAGCGCUUGCGACCAGACUCGCCCACGGGGUUCAGCCGGCUUUCGGGCCGGUGUACUUCCCCGGGGGCGGGCCAGCGUCGGUUUGGGCGGCCGGUUAAAGGCCCCCGGAAUGUAACGCCCCCUCGGGGGCGUCUUAUAGCCGGGGGUGCCAUGCGGCCAGCCCGGACCGAGGAACGCGCUUCGGCACGGACGCUGGCAUAAUGGUCGCAAACGACCCGUCUUGAAACACGGACCAAGGAGUCUAACAUCUACGCGAGUGUUCGGGUGGCAAACCCGUGCGCGCAGUGAAAGCAAACGGAGGUGGGAGCCCCCUCGUGGGGCGCACCAUCGACCGAUCCUGAUGUCUUCGGAUGGAUUUGAGUAGGAGCGUAGCUGUGGGGA
rnacentral:rRNA from 1 species